rnacentral:rRNA from 1 species
UACAGAGGUCUCAAGCGUUGUUCGGAUUCAUUGGGCGUAAAGGGUGUGUAGGUGGCGCGCUAAGUCGGGUGUGAAAACCCAUGGCUCAACCGUGGGCUUGCAGCCGAUACGGGCAGGCUAGAGUUCGGUAGGGGAGACUGGAAUUCCUGGUGUAGCGGUGAAAUGCGCAGAUAUCAGGAGGAACACCCGUGGCGAAAGCGGCUCUCUGGGACGGUACUGACGCUGAGACGCGAAAGCGUGGGGAGCAAACAGG